rnacentral:lncRNA from 1 species
GCGGCCCGUGCGAGUGCGCCCUUCUCGGGUCCCCUAGGUCGCGGGGCAGCCGGGGCGGAAGGGGCUUGUUCAUUAUUUUGAGAGUUUGUUGUGAACGUCAUAACCUUUCGUCCUUAAAUAUUGCCGAUACUUGACCUACGCAAGAGACAAUGUCAUGUGAUUCAGCCUAAUAUCUCAGAGGAUGCAGCAUUCAAGGUUCUAUCUUGGAAGCAGAGACUGUGCCCUCACCAGAUGCUGAACCUGCUGAGCACCCUGAUCUUCCACUUCACCUUCAUCAGAACUGUCUUUGAGGAAUUGUCACACUGUCUUCUGCAAUGGAUGAACUAAUUUACACUCUCAACAACAGUGUAUAAGCAUUCCUUUUGCUCUGCAACCUCACCAGACAUCUGGACGCGCAUGAAAUUUGGUGCCGUGACUCGGAUCGGCGGACCUCCCUUAGGAGAUCAAUCCCCUGUCCUCCUGCUCUUUGCUCCAUGAGAAAGAUCCACCUACGACCUAAGGUCCUCAGACCAACCAGCCCAAGAAACAUCUCACCAAUUUCAAAUCCGAAAUCCUUCAUCUAAUCUGGCAAACACAUGUGGCAGGUUUUUCUCACCGCAUAAAAUAUGUUAUAGAGUAGUCCAUCUAUUUCUCUUCCAUGGAAGAGUUCAUCUGGUAGAUUGGACUACCACUUUUCCUUGUGGAGACCUAUUCUGUUGGGUUAGAGAUGACAGAAAAUCUUAUUUGUCGGUUGGUUUGUUUGUUCAAGAAUACACUGACCUUCUACAAGAAAGGAGAGCUCUUUGACACCUGGAAAUUUUACAGAAGCUUGGGACAGCUCUGAAUGGCAACACGGUCCUGAGAUAUGUGAUUACCUGGGACUUUCAUUGGACCUGCAUUUCAGCUCUACUCUCCUCACUGCCCUAUGCUGCUUUGACCCUAAAAGUGAAGCCAGCUUGGCCAGGUGCAGUGACUCACACCUGUAAUCCCAGCACUUUGGGAGGCCGAGGUGGGCAAAUCAAGAAGUCAGGAAAUCGAGACCACCCUGGCCAACAUUGUGAAACACCAUCUCUACUAAAACACAAAAAAAUUAGCCAGGUGUGGUGGCACGCACCUGUAGUCCCAGCUACUCGGGAGGCUGAGGCAGGGGAAUCACUUGAACCCGUGAGGAGGAAAUUGCAGCGAGCCAAGAUCGCGCCACUGCACCCCAGCCUGGGCGACAGAGAGAGACUCCAUCUCAAAAACAAAACAAAACAAAACAAAAAAAACAAAAA